rfam:Collinsella sp. CAG:398 genomic scaffold, scf83
GAAGCGGGCCAGACGGUCGCGCGACCUGCGCUCCGGCGCAGGCGUGAGGAAAGUCCGGGCUCCACAGGGCAGGAUGCUGGCUAACGGCCAGGCGGGGCAACCCGACGGAAAGUGCCGCAGAAAAGAAGACUCCCACCUGCGUGCUGACUCGGCGCGUAAAGGGAAAAGCUGAAACGGUGGUGUAAGAGACCACCAGCGUCGCGGCAACGCGGCGGCUUGGUAAACCCCAUCCGGAGCAAGCGCAAAUAGGGGCGCUAUGGGUCGGCCCGGCCCGCGCCCGGGUAGCGUGCGAGGAGCCGCACGGUGACGUGCGUGCCAAGAUAAAUGACCGUCCGCGACAGAACCCGGCUUAUAGGCCCGCUUCGUUC